rnacentral:rRNA from 1 species
GAUGAACGCUGGCGGCGUGCCUAAUACAUGCAAGUCGAGCGAACAGAUAAGGAGCUUGCUCCUUUGACGUUAGCGGCGGACGGGUGAGUAACACGUGGGUAACCUACCUAUAAGACUGGAAUAACUCCGGGAAACCGGGGCUAAUGCCGGAUAACAUUUAGAACCGCAUGGUUCUAAAGUGAAAGAUGGUUUUGCUAUCACUUAUAGAUGGACCCGCGCCGUAUUAGCUAGUUGGUAAGGUAACGGCUUACCAAGGCAACGAUGCGUAGCCGCCCUGAGAGGGUGGUCGGCCACACUGGAACUGAGACACGGUCCAGACUCCUACGGGAGGCAGCAGUAGGGAAUCUUCCGCAAUGGGCGAAAGCCUGACGGAGCAACGCCGCGUGAGUGAUGAAGGUCUUCGGAUCGUAAAACUCUGUUAUUAGGGAAGAACAAAUGUGUAAGUAACUGUGCACGUCUUGACGGUACCUAAUCAGAAAGCCACGGCUAACUACGUG